UACGUAGGGGGCAAGCGUUGUCCGGAUUUAUUGGGCGUAAAGAGCGUGUAGGCGGCCAUGCAGGUCCGUUGUGAAAACUCGAGGCUCAACCUCGAGACGUCGAUGGAAACCUCAUGACUAGAGGACCGGAGAGGAUAGUGGAAUUCCCAGUGUAGUGGUGAAAUACGUAGAGAUUGGGAAGAACACCAGUGGCGAAGGCGGCUAUCUGGACGGUUUCUGACGCUAAGACGCGAAAGCGUGGGGAGCAAACAGG
rnacentral:rRNA from 1 species